CAUCAGGGCACACCUAUACAGUGGACAUGGAGUUGGAGCUCAGCACUUGUCCACCAGGCAGCAGUAGUGCAAAAUUCCAACAUCACCUCCAUCAACUUUCUCCCCACAACAGCUGAAAUGAGGGCUGAGCUGCUGAAAAUAACAAAAGCCUCAGUUUCUCUUGACUUUCUAAACCCUUUACGGCAAAAUAUGCCAAAGCCAAGCACAUUAGCUCCAGAGUCACAUCAGCUGGACCUGUCUUCCACCAUCUCUGCACAAUUGCGCCAAACAUCACCUAUGCAAGAGGACUCAUACUCCAACCAACCCUGUGUACAGGGUAACUCAGAGGGAGCACCUUUACCUCAGUCUCCUGUGAGACGGAUGCUGGGACUGCUCAGUGAAAUGGCUGAAAACUCAGACUACAGUGAUGCCAUGACUACAAUGGCCAAGCAGCUUGAAAAGAUGCAGCACAACCCGACCCAAAUGAUCUCCGCAUUUUACUGCUUUGAAAGGGAUGACUGUGUCAAAACGUGCAGCAGCGUGUGUAUAUAUAUAUAUAAUUAAA
rnacentral:lncRNA from 1 species